GGCGAACUAGUGUAAUGGUCAUCACAGCGGAUUCUGAUUCCGCUAAUCUGGGUUCGAUUCCCAGGUUUGCCU